rnacentral:rRNA from 2 species
CAGCCGCCGCGGUAACACCAGCCCCUCGAGUGGUGGGGAUGAUUAUUUGGCCUAAAGCGUCCGUAGCCGGCCGAGCAAGUCUUCCGUUAAAUCCAGCGUCUUAAGCGUUGGACCGCGGGAGAUACUACACGGCUAGAGAGUGGGAGAGGUCAGCGGUAUUCUGGGGGUAGGGGCGAAAUCCUUUGAUCCCCGGAGGACCACCAGUGGCGAAGGCUGCUGUCUAGAACACGUCUGACGGUCAGGGACGAAAGCUGGGGUAGCGAACCGGAUUAGAUACCCGGGUAGUCCCAGCCGUAAACGAUGCAAGCUAGGUGUUGGGUUGGCCACGAGCCACCCCAGUGCCGCAGGGAAGCCGUUAAGCAUGCCGCCUGGGAAGUACGAUCGCAAGGUUGAAACUUAAAGGAAUUGGCGGGGGAGCAC